GAUGAACGCUGGCGGCGUGCCUAAUACAUGCAAGUCGAGCGGACGGACGAUAAGCGUGCUUCUCUGAUGGUAGCGGCGGACGGGUGAGUAACACGUGGAUCACCUACCUAUAAUACUGGGAGAACUUCGGGAAACCGGAGCUAAUACCGGCUGAUAUUUUGAACCGCAUGGUUCAAAAGUGAAAGACGGUCUUGCUGUCACUUAUAGAUGGAGCCGCGCUGCAUUAGCUAGUUGGUAAGGUAAUGGCUUACCAAGGCAACGAUGCGUAGCCGACCUGAGAGGGUGAUCGGCCACACUGGAACUGAGACACGGUCCAGACUCCUACGGGAGGCAGCAGUAGGGAAUCUUCGGCAAUGGGCGAAAGCCUGACGGAGCAACGCCGCGUGAGUGAUGAAGGUCUUCGGAUCGUAAAACCCUGUUAUUAGGGAAGAACAGAUGUGUGAGUAAAUGUGGCCAUCUUGACGGUACCUAAUCAGAAAGCCACGGCUAACUACGUG
rnacentral:rRNA from 1 species